GGGGAGAAAAUUAAAGGAAAAAGGCUGAAAAAAACGCCAUAGCAGAUUCUUUGGGUUUGGCUCUAUCUCAAGAUUACCCUUUGAUCUGACGACAGAAAGAGAAAACGAAAAUAAUUGGCGAAAACCAAUUAAACCUAUACAGGGAAUGCCAAUGGUUACAAACGAGUGAAGAGACAGCGAUGCAUCUGAAAAAACCGUUAUGGAGCUCCGGAUUGAAGGAUAGCUCAAGGGAAGCUGAUCCUCAGGCGCAAGCAUCGGCCACCGCGGUGGAGGAGUUAGUUAACUCUUUGAACAAGCAGCGCUUGUACAAAGAGGUCACUCUCGCCCUUCGAACUAGCCUCAGAGACGCUAGCGCCGAAUUCUCCUUCCUCCGCCUCCGCGGCCUCCGCUCCCUCCUUAACUUCCUCCGAUCCGUGGCACAGUCCGACUCCGCCAUUAACCUCUUCUGCCAAACCCAAUCUAUACCUGAACUUCAAGUGGUUCCAGUUCUGUUUCGACAUUCUCUCAAGGAUUCAGAGGAUGAGAAGGUGGAAAGUUUGAAUCAUAUAUUCGGGGUAGAGCCUAUGAACAUUACUGGUCCUUCAACAGGUGCAGAGGUUGCGCUUGCACUUAGAGUUCUGGAAGGUUGCUGUCUUCUCCACAGUGAGAGCACGAAGUUGGCUCAUCAACACAAGGCUGUUGAGGUUUUGUUGCAUAUAUUAUCAACUAGAGGUGCAUCGGAGCAAGGUGCCUGUUUGGAUGCUCUAAUCUCAAUAAUGCUGGAUUCAUCAUCCAAUCAAAUGGAUUUUGAGGUUUGUAAUGGUAUUGAGGAAGUGACAGUGCUCAUUAGGGACAAGCAAGUGGAUGAAAAUCUCAGGUAUUCAUCAUUGUACUUCAGCCCAACGCUCCUUUCCUUUAUAUUUUGUAAUAUUUGACAUAAUGCAUUUAUUAUUUGUAAUAUCAAGAAUACCAAUGAGGAAAAAGGGAAACCUUGCAUAUACCCAAUAAAUUUUCUUAGUUGUUAGAACCAUUAAACACAAUAUUGAUACCCAAAGACCCCCAAGUGCUCUAUUUAAAACUAUGUAUUCAAAACAAAUACAGCCAUCAGUUGAUUUUUCUCCCCAUUUAUUCUUUUUAUCUUGUCAUCAUCAGAUUAUGGGGGUUUACCUGAAACCCCAAGUCUUGCAUCAUUAUUAAAUUCCAUUAAAAAUGUUUAUCAAAUGUUAAAACAUAAAGGAGACUGCCAAAUGUUUAUCAAAUGGCACUAUUAACAAGGGCACUCCUAUUAUGACAGCUUUAUAAUAAAUUUAAAGAUAUGUUAACUAAAUUACCCUUGGUUAAUAAUGCUGUUAAAACACUUUACUUCCCCUCAGCAAAUUGUUGUUUUUAUCAAUUUAUGGGAUCAUGUCUCUCUCUUUCAUUGUUUGUUUGAAAAUAUGUGACCAUGUCCCUAUCUUUCUCUAUGACCUAAUUGAAUCAAUCUAAAAGAUAUCCUUAAUGAAAGCCAUUUUAAAAAAAAUAAUUCAAAUUAUAUUUCUCCACAUUCAUAAGAAUUGAUGUUUCUCCACUCAAUUUUUGCAUCGUAAGCAACAUGCUUAUCUCUAAAUUCAAGCUUCAACCAAUAGAGGGAUCUUAUAAAUAAAUAAAUGGAAUCUCUAACUUUAAGCUUAGCAACCAAUCAGUUUCUCUCCAAAAUCACAUGAGGUAGAAUCUUAUAAUAGCAGUCCUGUGAAAUUUAAAAAUGGAGAAAAAAAGGGAUAAAGUUCUAGAACACCUGAUAGGUUGGUCUAUGCUGGUUUUUGUCAUUAGUUAGUGAGGUGCAUUAUAGUCCCAAUCUAUACGGAAUUGGAGAUCGGAAAGAACACAGAUCUCAUGAUGUGUAAGAGAGAGAGAGAGACAGAGAAGAGAAAACAGAAUUUUAGGGAGAAAAGUAAUCUGUAUUAUUCAUUCUAUAAUCUGUCAAUACAACCUAUAUAGUAUCUAUACUCUCUUGCCUACAAUUAUUUCUGAAUCAGUUACAUUUAACUAAUUCUAGUGACAUUCAAAUUCUCACAGCUGCUCCCUCUAAUUCAGUCCCACAGCUCAGCUUAACUACACUCACUUGACCCAGCUCCAUUCCUAACAGCAUCUAGCUGAAUGAGAACAUGAAAAGUUACUGGCAAUGUUGUAGGCAUGUUAAAUAAGGGAGCUAGUGCGUACAAAUUAAAUUCCAUCUUACCUUUUCUCAGUAGCUUAAAGGCUCCAACAGUUACUUGAUUAUGAGCUAAUAGGCAAUGGUAGUGCUGCACUUGAUUUGACAAUUACUUGUGUAGCAGCAGAUGGCUAUUUUUGGAGUAAGGAAAUACAAUUCUUCUUGGCCUGCAAUUCAUAGAAUAUAGUUGCACAAAACAAGUCCCAAUAACU
rnacentral:misc_RNA from 1 species